ensembl:lncRNA
AUGGCGGCGCGCACAGACGCAGGGGCUCUAUGCUCUCCACUUAGGUGCCUUUCUUUUUUGUUUCUCCUCUUUUUCUUCUUCUUUUGUUUUCCUUAUUGUGAAGCCAAAUUUUCCUACAACCAUCUGGAAUUAUGCAAGAUCGGAUAUAACAGCCAGAUCCCCAUUAUCAGUGAUUAUCAGAGGGUGCACAACAUCCCCCCGGAGAUAGCGAGAACAUCGGGUGCUCCAUGGAUUGUUAUCGGCUCUUCCAAGAAACGCAGUCGGCGGAAGGAACGCAAACAACAGCGGGGAUGCCGGUCGGGCCUGCUAGCCAGGCUAAAGAGGCAGCCUUUUAAACCACCGCUCCCGAGCAUCUUUCUGACAUACGCACGGUCGGUCGUCAACAAAAUAGACGAACUGAACCUACUUCUCACCGCACAGCCAAUCGUCCGCGACUGCUGUGUCCUGGUCGUCACGGAGACAUGGCUACGAGAGGGAAUUCCCGAUGCCUCCGUGCGGCUAGCGGGCCACACAAUGCACCACAGUGACAGAAAGUCUACAGCGGGGAAAAGCUUAGAGGCAAUGUCUGUCAUGUGCAGACCUUUCUACUUGCCCAGAGAACUGCCUGCAGUGCUAAUAACAGCAGUCUACAUACCACCAGACGCUAAUGCUAGCUCAGCCCUUGCAUACCUGCAUGACAUGAUCUCCAAACAGCAACGGACAUACCCAGAGGGAGUACACAUCAUUGCAGGGGAUUUCAACAGAGCAUGCUUAAGAACUGUGCUGCCUAAAUUUGUACAACAUGUGAAAUGCCCUAAGAGAGGAAAUAACAUCUUGGAUCAUGUUUACUCAAAUAUUAAGCAAGCCUAUAGAUCUGUUCCCCUCCCCCACCUGAGCAUGUCCGACCACCUCUCCAUACUCCUUGUCCCGGCAUACACACCACUCAGGAAGAGGACAAAGCCCACCAUCAGAACCAUUAACACCAUUUCUGAGGAAGCUCUCGCUCAAUUGCAGGACUGUUUUGCUCUCACAGAGUGGAGUGUCUUUGAACAGGAUGACCUAGAGACUCGCACAACUGCAGUGCUGGAUUACAUCAAACACUGCAUGGACACUGUCACCACGGAAAAGCGGGUCCGGGUCUACCCCAACUGUAAACCCUGGAUGACAAGCAAGGUUCCGGCACUGUUAAAGGCAAGCAACUCUGCAUACAAAUCUGGGGACCAGGACAUGUACAGCAGAGCAAGAGCAGACCUUAAAAAAGACAUCAGAGCAGCAAAACUGGACAAUUCAAACAAGCUAUCAGAUCACCUCUCUGAUAACAACUCCAGAAAGGUAUGGGAGGGCCUGAAACACAUCACCAAUUACAAAGCCAAUGGGACAAAUAUAGAUAAUAUGGACAUCUCAUUAGCGGAGGAACUUAACCACUUUUUUGCCCGCUUCGAGAAAACUGCAGUCACCCCCACCAUGCACACCACCCUGCCCACAGCGUCCUCUGAGCACAGCCCCCACACAUUUAGCCUCCAACAACAUCAGGUCCGCAGUGUGUUCAGAGCAGUGAAUCAGAGGAAAGCUGCUGGCCCCGACGGAAUACCUGGUAGAGUGCUCAAAGCCUGCGCCGACCAGCUGGCUCCUGUGUUCACCAGACUAUUCAACCUCUCCCUGACACAUGCCACUGUCCCUCACUGCCUGAAAUCAUCAACAAUAGUCCCAGUCCCCAAGUCCACCACCAUCAGUAGCCUCAGUGACUACAGACCCAUUGCACUGACUCCAGUGGUUGCAAAGUGCUUUGAGAAGCUGGUCCUAAAACACAUAAAGAACUGCCUCCCACCCAGCUUUGACCCCCACCAGUUUGCCUACAAGGCAAAUAGGUCCACAGAGGAUGCAAUUUCCACUGCUCUUCACUCCGCUCUGCAUCACCUGGAGAAUCCUGGGACAUCAGUAAGGAUGCUCUUCAUUGAUUUCAGCUCGGCCUUCAAUACUAUCAUCCCAGACAUUCUUAUAGACAAGCUGGUAAACUUGGACUUCCCCCCCCCUCCACAUGUGCAUGGAUCAAAAACUUCCUCACAGACCGAUCACAAUCAGUCAAGGUUGGCAACCAGCGAUCAUCCACCCUGUCACUCAGCACUGGCUCACCACAGGGAUGUGUGCUGA